AUGACUAUUCAGAGUGCUCCCGGGUUGGCACAGCAGGCCCUUCAAGGAAUCAAACUCCGGUCCUUGCGCUUGCGCAGCAGGUGGCAAAACCACAGAGCUAAAUCCCCGGCCCUCCUUGCAAUCUUAAAAGUCCACAGUUUUCUGUUGGAAGCUAUGACAUCCUGCCGAAGAUAUCCAUCAGAGCUUUCUUUCUGGCAUUUAGGUUUUCCCUUUCUUUUAACAUCUUUGAAAUAG
rnacentral:lncRNA from 1 species